rnacentral:lncRNA from 1 species
AAUGGUAGCCUAAAUGAAGAAUAUUUCGAGACUUUAAAGUUGAAUAAUGGAAAAAACUACCAAGUUUGGAUUGACUAUGCAGAUUUCCACAUUAAUGUUACUAUGGCACCAGUUGGUAUGAAAAGGCCUAAGCAACCUUUGUUGGAUUUCCCUCUGAAUCUUUCUCAAGUUUUUAAGGAUGAGAUGUAUGUGGGGUUCACAGCCUCCACUGGAAUGCUUGCUCAAGGUCACAAGAUUUUAGCUUGGAGUUUUAGUAACUCUAAUUUUUCGAUUAGUGAUGCUUUGAUCACACAAGGUUUGCCGGUUAGAAUUAUGAUUCCGACUAAACACAAUAGCCUUCAUAUCGAAUAAUUUGGAAUAACAACAUGAACGGAAGCAUACCUGAAUCCAUAUGUGGAAAUCCUUAAGCCUCCUUUUGAUGAUUGUUUGAAAGCUCCUUGAUCCUUUCUUCAAGAUUGUACUUCACAAAUAAUGGGAAUCCCGAUAACCAUGUCUUUGGGGUUGAGUUUGAUGUUUUCAGGAAUCAAGAAUUCAAUGACAUAAAUAACAACCAUGUUGGAAUUGAUGUCAAUUCUCUUGAAUCAGUGUUUGUUCAUGAAGCAGGCUAUUGGCCUGAUAAGUACAAUAAGUAUAAUGAUAAUGGUAGCCUAAAUGAAGAAUAUUUCGAGACUUUAAAGUUGAAUAAUGGAAAAAACUACCAAGUUUGGAUUGACUAUGCAGAUUUCCACAUUAAUGUUACUAUGGCACCAGUUGGUAUGAAAAGGCCUAAGCAACCUUUGUUGGAUUUCCCUCUGAAUCUUUCUCAAGUUUUUAAGGAUGAGAUGUAUGUUGGGUUCACAGCCUCCACUGGAAUGCUUGCUCAAGGUCACAAGAUUUUAGCUUGGAGUUUUAGUAACUCUAAUUUUUCGAUU